rnacentral:rRNA from 1 species
GACGAACGCUGGCGGCGCGCCUAACACAUGCAAGUCGAACGAGCGAGAGAGAGCUUGCUUUCUCGAGCGAGUGGCGAACGGGUGAGUAACGCGUGAGGAACCUGCCUCAAAGAGGGGGACAACAGUUGGAAACGACUGCUAAUACCGCAUAAGCCCACGGCUCGGCAUCGAGCAGAGGGAAAAGGAGCAAUCCGCUUUGAGAUGGCCUCGCGUCCGAUUAGCUAGUUGGUGAGGUAACGGCCCACCAAGGCAACGAUCGGUAGCCGGACUGAGAGGUUGAACGGCCACAUUGGGACUGAGACACGGCCCAGACUCCUACGGGAGGCAGCAGUGGGGAAUAUUGCACAAUGGGGGAAACCCUGAUGCAGCGACGCCGCGUGGAGGAAGAAGGUCUUCGGAUUGUAAACUCCUGUU